GGGAAGGUGGCUCAAUGGUAGAGCGCUUGCCUUGCAUGCAUGAGGCCCUGGGUUCAAUUCCUCACUACCA
rnacentral:tRNA from 1 species